CCAAGGUUUAACUAACUGUUGAAACCCACGUACAUAAUGCACAAGAAAUUAAUGUAAUGGAAAUAACAACUUAAGCCCUAGACUGGAAGUAAAUAACAAAUGUAGCAAUUAUAUGAAAAAGAAGGAAAAUGGCCAGCAUGCAAAACAGAAAAUCAAUCCAUGCAAUGCACGUCCCCACGCAACGGCUCAUGCAAUGUUUCCAUAAUAUCUGGGAUUCUUCCUAGAUAUUCUCUUGGUUCUUCAUGGUUUAUCAAUGCCCUUCCCAUGAGGUGGACGUUUGUCCUCAAGGUCCAUGGUAGGAAAUCGCUGCCUUAUCAACUCCAUCAUCUGCCAGGUUGCCUCUUCUGGAGGCAAACGACUCCAUUCUACUAAGACCUCCUCAAUGGACUUGUUUCCCUGUUUGACCCAACGUGUAUCCAAAAUUUUAUCGGGCUCCAACACAAUAGCUCCAUCAUUUGAAACUGGGGAUAAUUCCUUACUGACUUUCGCAUGCUCUCCAUGGUACUUCUUUAGGAGGGACACGUGGAACACAGGAUGUAUCCGUGCUCCCUGGGUAGUUGAAGCUUGUACGCCACUUUUCCAAUUCACUGCUAGAUAGGGUAAGGUCUAAAAAAUUGACUAGCUAAUUUUUGAUGUGCACAUUUGAAAGCUGUAUGCUAAUGAUAGGGUUAUAGCUUUAAGAGCACCAUAUCUCCUUUAUGAAAUUUCGCAUCUCGCCUUUUUUCUAUCCGCCACCUGUUUCAUAAGGUUAUAGCCACCUCCAAAUUGUUCUUCAGUUGUUGUAGUAGUUUGUCCCUGUGCAAUAAACUUUGGUCUAUGUCAUUUACCGAGAGAGCCCUGCUCGAUAAAAUGGAAUUGCUGGUGGAAUUGGACCGUAAAGGGCUUGAAAUGGAGUCAUUCCAGUAGAGCUAUGAUAGGUUGUAUUGUACCAAAAUUCUACCCAUGGAAAAAAUUCAGUCCAUUUCUUAGGCCACUGAUGGAUGAAGCUGAGGAGAUACUGCUGAAGACAUCGUUUCGCCACUUCGGACUGGCCAUCCAUUUAUGGAUGACAGGUAGAGAUAAGUUUGAUCUUGAUUCCUAACAUGGCAAAUAACUCCUACCAAAACUUAUGAAGAUAGGAUCUUGGUCCCUGAUUAUAGAUUGAGGCAUACCAUGUACUUUGACGAUCCCUUCCACAAAUUUUUCUGCUAUCUCUUUAGCAGUAAAGAGAUGAGAUAAUGAAAGGAAGUGAGCAUAUUUAGUCAAUUGAUCAACAACCACUAAUACCACAUCCUUGUCCCUAGAAGUGGGUAAUCCUUCAAUGAAGUCAAGAGUGAUAUCAUCCUAGACUUGACAUGGUAUGGGCAAGGGUUGGAGAAGCCUUGCUGGUUCAAGUGCAUGUGAUUUAGUCUUUUGACAUACUUUGUAGGAAGAGACAUAAUCUUGGACUUCUUUGUACAUGGAUGGCCAGUAAAAUUGCUGGGCUAAUCGUUUAUAAGUGCGCAACACCCCUGAAUGACCUACAUGCUUGCUAUCAUGAAAUUCAGCCAACAACUUUUUGCGAAUCUCAGGUACACGAGGGACAACCAUUCUGGACUUACAGAAACCAACCCAUUACGCAAUUUAUAUGGACCUUCGGGCUUCUUUUUGGCUAUUCGGACCACCUGGCCAAUGUACGCAUCCUCUUCGACGGCCUUCUUUAUUUCUUCCCAAAUUGUAACUUAUGGCACAAACAAAUGGUUAAGAAUUGGGCUAUUGGGCUUUCGGGAAAGGGCAUCCGCAGCGGAAUUGUCACAACCUAGUUGGUAGACUAUCUCAUAAUCAUAGCCCAAUAACUUAGCCACCCACUUUUGUUGCUCUAGAGUUGCCACACGGUGCUCUAAAAAAUAUUUGAGACUCUUUUGAUCUGUUUGAAUGAU
rnacentral:lncRNA from 1 species